CUUGCUUUCUUUGCUGGCGACCGGCGCACGGGUGAGUAACACGUAUCCAACCUGCCCUUUACUCGGGGAUAGCCUUUCGAAAGAAAGAUUAAUACCCGAUAGCAUAAUGAUUCCGCAUGGUUUCAUUAUUAAAGGAUUCCGGUAAAGGAUGGGGAUGCGUUCCAUUAGGUUGUUGGCGGGGUAACGGCCCACCAAGCCUUCGAUGGAUAGGGGUUCUGAGAGGAAGGUCCCCCACAUUGGAACUGAGACACGGUCCAA
rnacentral:rRNA from 1 species